rnacentral:rRNA from 1 species
AUUGAACGCUGGCGGCAUGCCUUACACAUGCAAGUCGAACGGUAGAGUAGCAAUACUCGAGAGUGGCGAACGGGUGAGUAAUAUAUCGGAACGUGCCCAGUCGUGGGGGGUAACGUAGAGAAAUUUACGCUAAUACCGCAUACGAUCUACGGAUGAAAGCAGGGGAUCGCAAGACCUUGCGCGAAUGGAGCGGCCGAUGG